rnacentral:rRNA from 1 species
GACGAACGCUGGCGGCGUGCUUAACACAUGCAAGUCGAACGGAAAGGCCCUGCUUUUGUGGGGUGCUCGAGUGGCGAACGGGUGCGUAACACGUGAGUAACCUGCCCUUGACUUUGGGAUAACUUCAGGAAACUGGGGCUAAUACCGGAUAGGAGCUCCUGCUGCAUGGUGGGGGUUGGAAAGUUUCGGCGGUUGGGGAUGGACUCGCGGCUUAUCAGUUUGUUGGUUGGGUAGUGGCUUACCAAGGCUUGGACGGGUAGCCGGCCUGAGAGGGUGACCGGCCACAUUGGGACUGAGAUACGGCCCAGACUGAUACGGGAGGAAGCAGUGGAGAAUAUUGCAAAAUGGGCGGAAGCCGUAUGCAGCAACGCCGCGUGCGGGAUGACGGCCGUCGGGUUGUAAACCGCUUUCGCCUGUGACGAAGAGUGAGUGACGGUAAUGGGUAAAGAAGCACCGGCUAACUACGUG